UGCCAUUCUAUUGUGUGUAGAGAAGUGAAGGGGCUGAGAUGGGCACUGUACACAUAAGGCAGAUUCCUGGGACUUUCUGGCCAAGGGAAAUAUUGCUUCUGCCUUGGAGUAGUAUAGAAGCUGAAUCUGGCUGAAGGUACAUUCUUUGUCUUUGAACUGUUUUCCUGGUCCUUGCUCUAAUGGGAAAAACCCACAGCCAAAUAAAAGGCAUUGUAAAGUUCUCGGGAAAGGUACAGGGCACAUGGAAUGUUCUACUGCCUUAAUCACUUUGACCAAUGAUGACAUGAAUGCCAAGGCCAAAGUUCAGCUUUUGGGGAAGCUAUUUACAAAGGUGUGUUUGUCAUCUGACCUAAAACACAGACAGAAAACUAAGGCAGGAUAUCAAAGUCUACUAUAGGAACAAUGGGUGGUGCUGGCUGAGAGUGAGGGCUGGGUAUCCAAUUUGAACAGGGUCAAGAAGCAGGAGCUGGAGGAUAAUCCCUGAAGGAAAACCACCCAGCGCUGGAGGAGGAGCAAGAUGCUCUGUGAACUCCUAGGAAGUAAAACCCAAUACAGAUGAGAACCAUGAAACUUCAGUGUGGUAGAUGAGCUCGUGGUAUUCUUUAGGGGGGAGAUGUUCAGCUGGAAAAGAGAGAGAUGGGGAACAUUUUUUGACUCUUGAGUUUGGGAUUAGAGAAAGGAGACCAUGAGGAAGAAGAAAGCAGAUGUGGAGAGAAGCAUCCAGCAGCCACCACAAUUUCUACACGUCAAAACCCCCUUUCCUGUGGGAGCUGUGCCUCAGAAGAUAAACUACUGACUGAUUAUAUAUUUAUGGUAAUUGAAUGAUGACUUAUGGAGUCUGUCUGGAGAGCAAUGCUUACGUUACACACAAACAACAAUUCACUCGGAUGCGUGCCUGGCAAGCAUCUGAUUUAUUAAAUCAAUAAAUGUUCUGGUUUUGUGAGGUUGGAGCUUUGAUUGUGUAUGGAGACGGAAGGCAGCAACACGAACAGUGUACACUUUAAGUUUGAAAAACACUGCUCAGGCAGAGGCAGGAGGAUCACCCCAACUUCCAGGCCAGCCUGAGCGACAUGGUGAUACCUGACACAAAGAAAUAA
rnacentral:lncRNA from 1 species